rnacentral:rRNA from 1 species
UCUACGUGUGGCUGCAGUGGGGAAUAUUGGACAAUGGGCGAAAGCCUGAUCCAGCCAUGCCGCGUGUGUGAAGAAGGCCUUCGGGUUGUAAAGCACUUUCAGUGGGGAAGAAAGCCUUGGGGCUAAUACCCUCGAGGAAGGACAUCACCCACAGAAGAAGCACCGGCUAACUCCGUGCCAGCAGCCGCGGUAAUACGGAGGGUGCGAGCGUUAAUCGGAAUUACUGGGCGUAAAGCGCGCGUAGGCGGUCUGAUAAGCCGGUUGUGAAAGCCCCGGGCUCAACCUGGGAACGGCAUCCGGAACUGUCAGGCUAGAGUGCAGGAGAGGAAGGUAGAAUUCCCGGUGUAGCGGUGAAAUGCGUAGAGAUCGGGAGGAAUACCAGUGGCGAAGGCGGCCUUCUGGACUGACACUGACGCUGAGGUGCGAAAGCGUGGGUAGCAAACAGGAUUAGAUACCCGUGUAGUC